rnacentral:tRNA from 1 species
UCCCUGGUGGUCUAGUGGCUAAGACUUCAAGCUUCCUAUGCUGGGGGCCCAGGUUCAAUACCUGAUCAGGGAA